AGGGGAGGGCCGGAUCCAGAGCUGUGUCCCUUGGGCUCCAGGGCCUGCGCUGCUGGAAUUGCACCCCCGGGGCCCUGCAGCCCCCU
rnacentral:pre_miRNA from 1 species